UACGAAGGGGGCUAGCGUUGCUCGGAAUCACUGGGCGUAAAGCGCACGUAGGCGGAUUGCUAAGUCAGGGGUGAAAUCCUGGAGCUCAACUCCAGAACUGCCUUUGAUACUGGCGAUCUCGAGUCCGGAAGAGGUGAGUGGAACUCCUAGUGUAGAGGUGGAAUUCGUAGAUAUUAGGAAGAACACCAGUGGCGAAGGCGGCUCACUGGUCCGGUACUGACGCUGAUGUGCGAAAGCGUGGGGAGCAAAACGG
rnacentral:rRNA from 1 species